GACGAACGCUGGCGGCGUGCUUAACACAUGCAAGUCGAACGAAGAGCGAUGGAAGCUUGCUUCUAUCAAUCUUAGUGGCGAACGGGUGAGUAACGCGUAAUCAACCUGCCCUUCAGAGGGGGACAACAGUUGGAAACGACUGCUAAUACCGCAUACGAUCUAAUCUCGGCAUCGAGGAAAGAUGAAAGGUGGCCUCUAUUUAUAAGCUCUCACUGAAGGAGGGGAUUGCGUCUGAUUAGCUAGUUGGAGGGGUAACGGCCCACCAAGGCGAUGAUCAGUAGCCGGUCUGAGAGGAUGAACGGCCACAUUGGGACUGAGACACGGCCCAGACUCCUACGGGAGGCAGCAGUGGGGAAUCUUCCGCAAUGGACGAAAGUCUGACGGAGCAACGCCGCGUGAGUGAUGACGGCCUUCGGGUUGUAAAGCUCUGUUAAUCGGGACGAAAGGCCUUCUUGCGAACAGUUAGAAGGAUUGACGGUACCGGAAUAGAAAGCCACGGCUAACUACGUG
rnacentral:rRNA from 1 species